GAUGAACGCUGGCGGCGUGCCUAAUACAUGCAAGUCGAGCGAACAGACGAGGAGCUUGCUCCCCUGACGUUAGCGGCGGACGGGUGAGUAACACGUGGAUAACCUACCUAUAAGACUGGGAUAACUUCGGGAAACCGGAGCUAAUACCGGAUAAUAUAUUGAACCGCAUGGUUCAAUAGUGAAAGACGGUUUUGCUGUCACUUAUAGAUGGAUCCGCGCCGCAUUAGCUAGUUGGUAAGGUAACAGCUUACCAAGGCAACGAUGCGUAGCCGACCUGAGAGGGUGAUCGGCCACACUGGAACUGAGACACGGUCCAGACUCCUACGGGAGGCAGCAGUAGGGAAUCUUCCGCAAUGGGCGAAAGCCUGACGGAGCAACGCCGCGUGAGUGAUGAAGGUCUUCGGAUCGUAAAACUCUGUUAUUAGGGAAGAACAAAUGUGCAAGUAACUAUGCACGUCUUGACGGUACCUAAUCAGAAAGCCACGGCUAACUACGUG
rnacentral:rRNA from 1 species